rnacentral:rRNA from 1 species
GACGAACGCUGGCGGCGUGCCUAAUACAUGCAAGUCGAACGCAGUGGGGACGGGUGAGUAACACGUGGGUAACCUCCCAUCAGAGGGGAUAACACUUGGAUACAGGUGCUAAACUCAUACUGGUGGAUGGACUAGCGGUGCAUUAGCUAGUUGGUGAGGUAACGGCUCACCAAGGCCACGAUGCAUAGCUGACCUGAGAGGGUGAUCGGCCACACUGGGAAUGAGAAACGGCCCAGACUCCUACGGGAGGCAGCAGUGGGGAAUCUUCGACAAUGGGCGAAAGUCUGAUGGAGCAAUGCCGCGUGAGUGAAGAAGGUUUUCGGGUUGUAAAGCACUGUUAUUAGAGAAGCGGUAUCUAACCAGAAAGCCCCGGCUAACUCCGUGCCAGCAGCCGCGGUAAUAC